AAUGAACGUUGGCGGCGUGGAUUAGGCAUGCGAGUCGAGCGAGAACCGUAGCAAUACGGGGACAGCGGCGAAAGGGUCAGUAACGGGUAGAUUAUCUGCCCUCAGGUUUGGGAUAGCUGCGGGAAACUGCAAGUAAUACCAAAUAAUAUCUCCGGAUCAAAGGUGUGAUUCCGCCUGAGGAUGAGUCUGCCUCCUAUUAGCUUGUUGGUGGGGUAACGGCCUACCAAGGCAUUGAUGGGUAGCGGGUGUGAGAGCACGACCCGCGUCAUUGGGACUGAGACACUGCCCAGACACCUACGGGUGGCUGCAGUCGAGAAUCUUCGGCAAUGGACGCAAGUCUGACCGAGCGACGCCGCGUGUGGGAUGAAGGCCUUCGGGUUGUAAACCACUGUCAGAGGGGAUGAAAUGCAGGUGGGUACUCCCAUUUGUUUGACAUAGCCUCAGAGGAAGUACGGGCUAAGUUCGUGCCAGCAGCCGCAGUAA
rnacentral:rRNA from 1 species